UGUCAUAGUAUGAUGUCAUCAUUAAGAGACUAGGAUCUGGAUAAGGCCACUCACAGUGGAUGCUCUCUGACAACACAGUCAGCAGCUCCAGGACAGAGUGUUCCAAGUCCACCUGAGCCUGGGGUGAGUCAGAGAAGCAGAGCUCUGGCUGUUUUCCUCUUUCCCAUUUUCUACCCUGCCUCUGUGGCUUCCUGAGUCCUUGAGAGCCAGUCCUUGUGAACAGGGGCCAAAAAUAUUCUCUU
rnacentral:lncRNA from 1 species